rnacentral:misc_RNA from 1 species
GAUGAAGGAACGUAGCGAAAUGCGAUAAGUAAUGUGAAUUGCAGAAUUCAGUGAAUCAUCGAAUCUUUGAACGCACAUUGCGCCCGCCAGUAUUCUGGCGGGCAUGCCUGUUCGAGCGUCAUUUCAACCAUCAAGCCCCCGGCUUGUGUUGGGGACCUGCGGCUGCCGCAGGCCCUGAAAUGCAGUGGCGGGCUCGCUGUCACUCCGAGCGUAGUAGUUACAUCUCGCUCUGGGCGUGCUGCGGGUUCCGGCCGUUAAAAGCCUUAUUUACCCAAGGUUGACCUCGGAUCAGGUAGGAAGACCCGCUGAACUUAAGCAUAUCAAUAAGCGGAGGA